CCCUAUUAUUUUUGAAUGUUAAUCUUUCCUGAGUAGUAUUAGUUAUGUUCUUGAAACUUAAAGAAUUUGGCGGUAUCUUAUUCCGUUCAGAGGAAUCUGUCUCGUUAUCGAUAGUCCACGUUGGACCUUACUUAAUUGCUUUGGUUUGUAUACCGCCGUUUAUUGAUUAUCUUUUUAGAGGUUAAAAAUUUUCUGGUUCCUAUAUUUUGUUUUAUUUCAGGUCAAGGUGCAGCUUGUUUUUAAGUGGUAUGAUGGAUUACAUUGGUAUUUGUUUAUUGGAUUGCUAGUUUAUAGGCUAGCAUGAAAUUGGAUUUGGUUGUAAUGUUCUGAAGAUUGUUUUCGUGAUAAGUGGUUCUAAGAUAUGCACACAUCGCCCGUCGCUCUCGUUUAGUUUAUUAAUGAGAUAAGUC
rnacentral:rRNA from 1 species